rnacentral:lncRNA from 1 species
UUUUUUUUUUUUUUUGGAAAUGUUCCUUUUUUAAAUGAAUGUACAUUUUAUCAUUUUUUCCAAACACUUUUUUUAUAUAUCACUCUAUAUCAUAGAGAAUGGAGAAAGAUUGUUCUAUCAGAUUCUAUAAAACCAGAGCUGAAUGAUUAAGUCUAAAGCCCAAAGUAGGUGUCCAAUAAACAUUUGUUACAAUAACUGAAAGUUCUGAUUCUGAAUCUGACUUCUACUAAUUAGCUAUUUGAAGUUUGAAAGUCAUAGUAAUAUGAUCGAAUAGAGUGGAGCACAAAAAGUGUGGGGAUUAUUGACUUCAUAAAACUCUGAAGUCCCAAAGUUUGCCUUCAGGUAUGUAAAAAAAAAAAAAAAAAGAAAAGUUACUAUUUGUAUUUCAAUGGUCAGGCAUGAAUCUUGUGGCUUCUCCUAGAUCUCAGAAGUGAGGUCAUCCUAUAUAAAGAUGUGCACUAAUUGUGAAAGAGUGAAAAUGCAAACAUUAUUUAUACUACAUGUACCUACUACAUAAUUUCACCUGAGAUAAAUUUAAUCUUUUAGUAUAUUUCAAUAAUGGAAUUUCACCAAUAUAACAAUUCUGCAAGGGGUGGCUAAAGUAUUUCCAAAGGUCAUCAGCGAUUUUGAAGACUAUUAUUAUAUUAUUAUUCUAGCCUUUCAAGUAUUUAAUUUUAUCAAAUUCAAAAGAGUAAUUUAUGUGGAGAAAGUAUUAUUACCAUAACUCCCCCCUGAAAUUAGGCCACAGUCACUAUUUGGGGAACAAGUUUAACAACACAGUUUUAAGAAUAUUUAUUUAAUUGAAAAGGAUAAUUCCAUCUGAAAAAUGACUUUCAUUUUCUAAAGAGUCUGAUCAGAUUUCCCUAAUAAAUGAAAUUGGUGCUAACAAAAUGAUGAUAGUACACUUCUAUUGUUUUCCCAGGACUAAGAGGAAUUUUUGUAUUAUUGUUGUAUAUAGUAACUUGUCCAAUCUCUUAUGAGUGGCUUAUAUGUGCAAGACAUCUGGCUUGCCAGGGUUAGAUAUGCAGUCUGUGAUCACUGCACAGAAAAAAAAUGCUAAUUGGCCCAUACAGGGCUCGAGCCCUGACAUCAGCCUUAUUAUGUGUAGAACCAAAUCAAUUGUGCUUACCAGCCAUAGACAUGAGGGAGUGUCAUUAAGUGUCCCAGAUUUCCUGACAUAGGCUUCUUCCCUACCGGGCCACAACAGUUUGGUGAUGACUCAUCUAAGAAGCAGCCAUGCAUAUCCCAGCUUCCUGAGGAAGGAACCAGAACAACAGACCAAACAAUCUUUAGAAGCUGAUAAGAUUUAAGUCAGCACCUUCUUCAUCAACAUCUCCCAGCCACCCCCCCAACCCCCACUGACUCUGUUUCCUUGGCACAAUGAUGUAUAAUAGUUACAUCAUUUCUCAGGAAAUAAAGUCCAGAGCCCAAUGUUCUCUAUAGAAUUAUGAUCAUUGCUAUUAUUUUUAUAAUUGGAAAUCUCAGUUGUUCUUUUGAAAAAAAUCUUCUCUUGAAGGAUGAUAAAUCCAGCUGGAUGCAUGUCUGGCUUCAAGCAUAUCAGGACUCAAAUCUCAAUUACUAGAUUUCAAGUUUACUUAUGGUAAUUUGAACAUAGUCUUAAUUUUUCACUUUUUCAUACUCUUUAGGUUGCAAAAGUGUAAGUACUUUUCCUUCAGCACCUAAUGAAUGUGGCCUAACCUCUCCAUCAUCACAGCUUUUGGUUUUUCCUUAUAUGAGAGAUUGUUUCUAGCCUUUGACCUAUAUGAUUAAAAUGCAUUUCAUGCAAUUUCAAAAUAUAGCAACUGACUAAAUACCUUACAAUAUUUACUUUUUUUUUUUUCAGUAAAUUGCCACCUUUAAUCCAUCCUGCAGUGCCCUAUGAAAGGGUCACAGAAAGACAGUUAUGACCAUAUGAAAAUAUGAUUCUUGAUACAGAAUCAAAAGUUAUUUUCAAUUUCCUUUGCUUUUAUAAAGUCCAAAUAACAAUACUUAAAUGCACUUUUUUUGUUUCCUAUGAUAUAAUUAAAACCCAGUGUUUUAUUUCAAUUGAACUUUAAAAUAGAGUCCCUGGUCUGAAUUAGACUUUAAAUCAUACUGUAAACAUAUAUUUGGUAUAAUUUAUUGAUCAUCAUCCAGUUGCUCCAAAAGGGUCCUUCUGUGCUUUUCCAAUUCCCCUUCAAUCAGUUCACUGCCAGAAGUAUCCCAAUUCCCAGAAUCCUUUCCAGUCUUUUUCUUAGGUGAUUUGUGUUUUGAUUCUGAUCUUUGUCUAGUUCUAUCUUUUUCACUUUCUCGGUCUUUUUCUUUUAUAUCCUUCUCUCGCUCAGCAUCUGACUCUGGAGAGUCAGAUUUAUGUCUCCUCUUCUUGCUUUUUUUCUUAUGCUUUUUUGACUUCUUUGACUAUAUUUGUAAAGGCUUUUUACCAUGGCUUUUCUGAUGCAUGAUGCCUAUAAUUAUAUUGAGAUCAGAUCAUCAUUUACUAAAUGUCUUUGAUAAUAAGCAUCAUGAUCAGAAUUCAUAGACUGAGCCUAUCUUUUUAAAAAUAAAUAUAUUAUUGUAUGAGUUUUGAUGCUAAAACUCCCUUUUUGUAUCUAUUAUUCUAUCAUUAUUAUCGGGUUCAAAUUUUCUGGAGAUUGAACCAAAGGUGCUGCCAUUAAGUGCCUGAUUUGAGCUGCAGAUAUUUGGAUAAAUAAAACUACAGAUAAUAGGGUUCAUGCUAAGAAGGGAGGAUGGAAAGAAGGGAAAAAGAAAGCAAAAAUCACUUAUACAUUUUUCAUGCACCUUUAAUAGUGUGAUUAUGCAUGCUAGUUCAAUCUAACCCUAAAAAACAAAAUUAGAACAUGAAAAGUACAGAAACUAUACCUAAUCUAAACCAGCUUUGUGAAAGCCAAUAGGAUAUGAAAACACAGCAGUAGGUAUUAAAUGAACAUUCGUUGAGAAACUCAGAUAAAAUGGCUGAGACAUUUCUAAAAUAGAUUUC